rnacentral:rRNA from 1 species
UACGUAGGGGGCAAGCGUUAUCCAGAUUUACUGGGCGUAAAGCGCGUGUAGGCGGCUGGUUAGGUGUGAUGUGAAAUCUUCCGGCUCAACCGGAAAACUGCAUUGCAAACCGGCCUGGCUAGAGUGCAGGAGAGGGAAGCGGAAUUCCAGGUGUAGCGGUGAAAUGCGUAGAUAUCUGGAGGAACACCGGUGGCGAAGGCGGCAUCCUGGACCGGCAUCGACGCUGAGGCGCGAAAGCCAGGGGAGCAAACGGG